CUACCCCCGCAUCUCCGUCAACAACGUGCUGCCCGUCUUCGACAACCUGAUGCAGCAGAAGCUGGUGGACCAGAACAUCUUCUCCUUCUACCUGAGCAGGUGGGCGUGUGGGUUCCCUCUCGCUCCGCGUUGCUGGGAGGCAGGGCGGGGCUGGACGGGGAGCCUUCUAGGCACCCCCUCUCAGUGCUGCCCCCUCCCUGCUGCUGUGCCAGAGCUCCUGACCUCUGACCUCAGGGCAUCCGGGAGGCGGGGGUUGGCCGCCCUUCUGCAGAGGAGUAAGCGGCAGCACAGAGAAAGCUGUUUGGCCGGGGUCUCCCAGUGGGAGGGGCUCGGGCCAGGCUGUGGGUCCUGGGACCUUGGCAGCUGGGCCUCCCUCCUAUGAGAAUGGACCCAGGUCAGGGGUCGUGGCAGUUCCUCUUGGUUCAGUCGGCCCGUCGGUCCCCAGACCUGGUGAUGGGCACAUGUGGUCCUGGUCCCGGGGUUGCUGAUGGUGGAGAGGGUCAUGGUGCCCAGGGGACCGGGGAUCCCCGGGGAGGGGAAAGGGAAGGAGCAGGAUGCCCACCUGGCUGUGGCUGUCUUACCCCAUGGAAUCCAGGCUCCAACUGACCUCACCAUUCUGUGGGUUAAUUUUCAUUCUUAAAACCUUCAUCUAAAGACCUUUGCUUCCUGGAAUACAGGCCUGGGUUUUCCCAACAGUCGUGGGCACCCGGCCUGGCACGUGCUGCUCAGUGGAGGGACCUCACAGCCCGUUCUAUGUGAGCCGUGCAGGAAAAGCUCCACGGACAAACUCACUCUCCGUGACAAUCAGGAGGUUUCUUCUCCAACCACCAGAAGGAGCUGGGGGAGCUCAUGAGGCCAGGAAGAGAACAGUCCUAAUCCCAUCCUUCCCCUCCUCAGCAGUGACCCCAGGGUCUGCUGUCCUGCCCCAACCCGCACUUCAAAGAAGGAAGGACACCUGCCUUCCCCUGCUACCUCACACCCCGAAGCAUGGGGAGCAUGGGGACCCUCGGCAGAGUCCUUUUGUAGUGAAGAAUAACAGACUAGUGUAAAAUAGCAGAAAAGAAGCUAAUGGCCAAACACAUCCAAGCUGGGGAAAACACCUGUUAAAUAUAAUGACAGAAUAUGCUCUCAUCAAAACCCAGGAAACUUUAAGAAUACACUAAACCUCACAAAAUGGGGGCGAAAUACAAUGAUGACCACACGUAUGAGAAAUGGUCAAUGGUAGAAUUGAAAGAAAUGCAAGGGAAAUAAAAGGUAAGGGGUCCUUUCCGAGCAAAGUGGCAACGUCACAACAGCUCACAGUCAGGCUUGGCGGGACAAGAAUGCUGGGCAGUGCUGGUUUGCAGGGAGGGGUCAACUUUUCUGGAAGCAGCCCAGCAAAGUGCCCCAGAGCCAUCAAUUAUUCCUGUGCUUCGCAGCCACAGCCCACGAAUGCAGGUGCAGCCACAGAAGCGCUGGCAGAGGGGAGGCUGAGAGUGGCGCUGGUUGAAGAUUUCUCACAGGAAACAAAAGGCACAGCCUCCACGUGGCUCAUGGCCAUGAAAACCCUUGACUCAAACCAUUCCACGUCGUGAGGAAGACGCGGGUCAGCUGCCCUAGUUGGGUGAUGAUGAUGCUGUCAGGGAAAGCGUCGGUGCCUAUGUGGGGAGAGUAGGGGAGUGAGAAACAAAAGCAAAGCGUGGUGGCUCUGUGGCUCCGGUGCCCCGGAGGCCAUGGCUCACUUUUUCACAAUGAACAUGGGCUAUUUUCAUUUUUUAAAGUCUGCUAAUGUUUCUAAGGAGACCAUACAGAACCGAAAAUUCUGAAUAACCUUGUCUUCCAUAAGGCAGACUUUUCAUUUCUGUCAUCUUUCCGGAAGGGCUGGACACAGAGACUGUGGGUCUGUGAUGGAGGUGCCACCAUCCACCCAGGGGCCCCCAGACCCUCCCCAUCUCCACCGCCAACCCAGGCCCCGGCUGCGCACGCGGGGCCAGGCCGUGAGCUGCUGUCCCCGGAUGGGGCCGCCCCGGGCUGGCCUGGCUCACUCCGUGUCACAGAUAUUCCCACAGAGACCCCAGCGAGACCUGCAGAACAUUACAGCAGAAUGAAGGAGAGCCAGAGGAAGAGGCAGAUGUGCUGGCCUGUAAACAGUCUGAUUUCCAAUGUAAACCAGAUUCAGGCCCACGACAUCAGAUUCACAGGAAGUCUCAAAACUAGUACAGAGAUUUCCACAUGCCCCUCAACCAGUUUUCCCAACGGCUUCGUCUCCCUUAGCUGGAGUGCGUGUCUAAGCCAGGAAGCUGACCGUGCUACAGUGUGUGUAUCUGGGUUUUUGCCAUGU
rnacentral:lncRNA from 10 species